UUAACAAUUUAUUGAAUUCAUUAACAAGAUUUACUUUUCUUUGACUAUGACUUUAUAUAAACUAAGUAUAUAUUUUCAAUAUAAAAUUUAAAUGUAUAAGCUCGAUGCGACGGUUUUUCUAACACUGCGUUUUUGAUCUGGAAUUUUCCAUCCAUUUAUUAUAGAUAUAUUUAUAGAUCCAGAAAAGAUUUAUCCAAACGAUUGUGCAAUGGUGAUACCAUUCCAGUCCCACUUUUUUGGUUGAUAACGUUUUCUUGUAUAUAAAACAGAUAACGCAGUUCACUGAAUUUAAAAAUAUAAUGUAAUUUUCUAUACACUGGGCCGUGAUUUGUUGUUGUAACCAUUUUAUAUUAUCAUAUACAAUAUUUCCCCUUUUCAUAUAUUUUUCAUUUCAUUCGCCCGUUCUUUAUACCCUGCACUUCGUGAAGGGUAUAUUAACUUUGAUAUGGAGUUUGUAACUACUUGAAAGAGUCGUCUCCGGUAUGGACAUAUAUAUAUAUAUUCUUGCUCAGCGUCAAAUUCUGCGUUGAUUUAGAUAUGUCCGUCCGUCCGUUCGUCCGUCCGUUCGAUCGCACGAUAACUCAAAACUUUCACAAGUUUUUUCUUUUGUGCCAAGGACGAACCCUAUUGUAAUUGGACUAAUUCGGACAACGGGUUCGGGUAGCUGCCAUACAACUCACAGAGUUUAUUUUAAAUAUUUCAAAAAAAUAAUAAGAGAUAUCAAUAUAAAAUUUUGUAUACAUGUGUCCAAUUGGGGGACAAAAGUUGGCAUGGGCCCUAGUCAGUCUCACAUUUUCCUAACAUGUGAGGCUGAAAAUGCUAGGAAAUGACCUCUGAAAACAUCAGCUCUGCCAACAAAUCCGACUCUCACCUCCUAGAAGGUAGGUAACAUAGUUAUCUGCCGGGUGUCUCCUGGGCAACUUACUUAGUAAGGCUGACGAGAGCGGGUGAAAGCGAGUACUCGGCGCUUAAUCCGGGUUUCGUUGGUUAGGAAGCGCGCGGGCGGUAAAUCCAGAAGCGUCUGACCUAGAAUAGGCGGCUACCUGGUCUGCGUCUGAUCCCUGAGGGUCGGCAGUUUUUGAAUUCUGGCAGUAGGUAUAAAAUGCAGAAUUUAAUCAUUUGUGCAAUGGACAAAACAAAAGGUUUUAGUACCCCAGGUGGUAAUUCAACUACGUUGGAGAAUCCACCCUCUUCGGUUUCUGGGGAGAGCAUUUGAUUGAUCCGUUCAGGAGGAACGCGAAAACCCGGCAUUCACCACCUACAUCUGAUGUGCGGAUUUUAGAAAAGAAUAAAAAUAUAGAAGGUGGACUACCGAACAUUCAAGCUCCACAAACCAAUAAAGAUAUAAACAUGAGUAAAGCGCAAGCCAAAAAAAGUGAUGAUCAGAAUGCUGACAUACAUUAAAGGAUUAGCCAACUAGAACAGCUCUGUGUGGCUUUGAAAAACAAGGAAUCAUCCCCGGAAAUGGUUCAGGUGACGAUCAACGCUGAGAAAGCUAAAAGUCGAGACAAUGUCACGAAAAACUCUAGACCGCCUCCAGUAGUCAUAAGUAAUAUGGUUGACUAUAAUCAAAUAGAGUCAACAUUGAAAAAAAGUCUGAUGUGGUCAGCACAUAACCGACCGCAUUGUGUAUUGUCUAGUUAAAUGAAAGUGUUACAGAAUAUUAUAAAAAUAUCUGUUAAAUACUUCUUUCCAAUUUUUAGGACUUUAGUAAGCUUAUAGUUAAAAUACCUAGAAAAAUGUAAAUUUGGCUCUUAGUAAAGUUUCGCUUUGUGCUACCCAAAUUCCCUGAAAUGCUCGCCAGUAAGUUUCGGUAACAACCAGAAAUCAAAUAUCAAAUUUCAAGAAAUUCCAUCAAUUCGUUCCGUAGAUAUGGUGAAAAAUGUAAAAUCGGCCCGCAAAUCAGUUUGCGGGCCCUGAUCUUUCCAAAAAAUUUAUAUGUUCAUUGCUUUAGUAUGAGGAAUUCAUAUAUUAAAUUUCAAUGAAAUCGGUUGAUUAUUUCUCUUUAUAUUUACAAAAGUGUAUGUUUGGCCCGUAGUAAACGUCUAGUUUCCGAUGCCUGAUCUUUCCAAAAAAUUUACAUGUUCAUUGUUUUAAUACGAGGAAUUCAAAUAUUAAAUUUCAAUGAAGUUGAUUGAUUAUUUCUCUUUAUAUACACAAAAAUGUAUAUUUAGCCCGUAGUAAACGUCCAGUUGCCGAUGCCUGAUUUCUUCCAAAACAUAGGAAUUUUUGCGGACGGUCGAGCUGAGCUUAUAUAUAAAAUUUCAAGUAAAUCGGAUGAAUAUUUUCUUCAAAAUGUUCAAAAAUGUAAAACAGGCCCGCUAAAAAGUGCAGUUCCCGAGGCCUGAUAUAUACCAAAAGUUGAUCGAUCCGUGCCAUGGUGGAAAUAAACAUACAUAUAAAAUUUCAUCACACAGACCGACAGACCGACAGACCGACAGAGCGGCAGGUUACUAAAAAUAGUUUAUUUACACUUCCCUACUAUGGAGAAGUGCAUUCCCACCGAAAACUCGAUAUGCAAAAUUUGUUGCCAUCACAUAACCUACCUAUUCUUUACACAAUACGGUCGGUAAUAAGGACAUCAAUUAUAAGGUUAAAAUGAUGAAUAACAAUCAAUUUAAGCUUAUUGUAAAUUCCGAAAUGGACUACAGGAAUCUUACCAGAGCCAUGAAUGGAUCUGGACUAGAAUGGCAUACCUAUGAAAACAAGCAGGCCAGACCAAUUAAACUCAUGGUGAGAGGUCUUCACCCCACUUGUAAACCGGAAGAUCUAAGCUCUAGGGGUUACAAGAUCUUAAACAUUAUGGUGUCUCUACCGCUGUUUAUGUUAACAUUCUCAAAUGAAGAAGAGAUGAAAAAAAUUUAUGAAAUCGAUUACAUAAACAGGAUGAAAGUUAAGAUAGAGGCACUUCGAAAGGACAGGACCAUUCCGCAGUGUAAAAGGUGUCAAAGGUAUGGGCAUACACAAAAAUUUUGCCAGAGAGUACCGAAUUGUGUUAAAUGUGCAGGCAGGCACUUAACAUCAGAUUGUAGUAAGCCAAAGAGUACUGCAGCAAAGUGUUCCAAUUGCUUGGAGGCCCACCCAGCAAACUAUAGGGGAUGCCUUGUAGCUAAGGAACUGCAAAAACGUAGAAAUAUGAACAUCAACAACAACUUGAAGAAUUCUGAACGGCCACCGAGGAAAUUCACCUCGAGAAUAGUCUCAAAAGAUGUAACAUACAGGGCCGUUCUCCAAACGAAAACUGAUGACGGUGGCACGAGCAAUAAAACAAGGGCCAGUGACGUGAAUGUUUUGUAUAAAAUGCAAAAUAUGAUGCAGAACAUGCUAGAUAUGAUGGACAAAAUCUCUCAUAGAUUGAGUAUUUUAGAGAGCGAAGGGAAAAAAUCGAAUACCAAAAGACCUGGUAAAUGAUGGCACGAGGUAAUUUUAAAAUAGCAACAUGGAAUUGCAAUGGCAUUGCAAAUAAAAAGGACAUGCUUGAAGUUUUUCUGCAUACACAGAAUAUAGACGCCUCGCAACUGAAACACAUAUGACCUUAAGAGGCAGGAUUCGGUUUCCAGGUUAUAGAAUUUACAACUCGAACCAUCCUAGAAAUAUAGCGAAGGGCGGAACGGCGAUAAUAAUAAAAGAAAAUGUGGUGCAUUGUGAUCUGCACCAGAUGCAAACCGAGGGAAUGCAAAUGACAGCGGUUCAGAUCACUUCGACUAAGCAGAAAUUUAGAGUGUCUGCAUUAUAUUGUCACCCUAGAUUUAAAAUUAUGGCAGAAAUGUUUCAAUGCGUUCUGACAGACCUAGGCGAUAGAUUUAUAUUGGGGGGUGACUUUAACGCAAGCACACUGAUUGGGGUUCAAGGCAUACUUCAACUAGAGGAAGCGAACUUAGGACAGCAAUUGGCGGCACGAGGUGCCUUUUUCACUCUGCGAAGCCAACGUAUUGGCCAACCGAUGUUAAUAAGUGUCCAGAUUUAAUAGAUUUCUUUAUAACAAAACGGAUUGCGAAAAAUUUCAUCGAGGUACAUGAUAACUACGAUCUUGACUCCGAUCAUUUGUACUUAAGGAAAAUAUAGUUAUGAAAAGAGCGAAACCUGCGCUGACAAAUGGAACUGCAGAUUGGUCAAGAUCUCGCUUAGAGAUUGAACGACAAAUAGAUCUAAGGAAAAGAAUAAGAACGACCCAGCACAUAGAUGAGGAGGCCGAAAACUUUACUAAAAUUAUUCAAAAAUUAUUAGGAAGGGGGGCAUUAACUAUCCCCCACAUAUACUAGCAAAAGUAAAACGAAGCAGGCGGUCGAGAAAAAGGUGGCAGCAAACGCGUGAUCCUGCUGAUAAAAAACCAGAUAUAAUCGUGAAUCGCAGCAACUAAGACGCUGUAUUAGAAAAUACAAAGAGGAUUCGGUUGCUGAUUAUGUUCAAAAUUUGACGGCGUGUGAGAAAACCAAUUACUCACUGUGGAGGGCAACAAUGAAAAUGAAGCAACCUACCAAACAACUCGCUCCUAUUAAAAACAAAGAUGGAACGUGGGCAAAAACUGACAAGGACAAGGCAAAUGCGUUUGCGGAUCAUUUGGCCGAUAUAUUCUGCUCGCAUGACAGCCGGAGCGUGUAUAAAAUGAGGAAUGUGCUUUUGUUGGGGACAGCGUGACUAUCCCCAAGAAAAGAGAUGUUAUAAAAGAAAUUAGGGCUCUUAAACCUAGGAAGGCCCCAGGAUUUGACCUAAUAACGGCCGAUAUUUUGCUCUUAAACCUAGGAAGGCCCCAGGAUUUGACCUAAUAACGGCCGAUAUUUUGAAAGAAUUACCCAAAAGGGGUAUAACGAUGCUUACGCGCCUAAUAAAUGCGUGUAUAAGGUUCAAUUACGUGCCUGAAAUUUGGGAAGUUGCAAAGAUAAUCAUGCUGCACAACUUAUCAUGCUGGACGACUUCUUAUAGACCAAUCUCUUUGUUGCCAAUGAUUUCAAAACUACUAGAGAAACUUUUAUUGAGAAGACUCCAGCCUAUAAUUGAAAGUAAAAGGUUAAUCCCGAAUCAUCAAUUUGGUUUUCGCCGCAACCACUCAACCAUAGAUCAGAUUCAUAGAAUAACUGACCUAAUAGAAAAUUCACUGGAAGAAAAAGCAGUAUGUUCUAUCAUAUUUUUGGACGUAGCCCAGGCCUUCGAUAAGGUUUGGCAUUGUGGAUUAUUAAAAAAAUUUAGGCGAUUACUACCAAGGCAGUAUGUUGACCUGCUCGAAUCUUACCUGAAUAAUAGGGUAUUUCGAGUUAAACAGGAAGAGGAGUACUCUUUGCUUAGGGAUAUCAAAUCGGGGGUACCACAGGGGAGUAUAUUGGGCCCGAUAUUAUACUUGUUAUACACGUGUGAUAUUCCUGAAUCGAAGGAGUGACAACAGCUACAUUUGCUGAUGAUACAGCAGUUAUCGCAAUUCGACGAAAUGAUUCUACACAAAAAUUGCAAAGGGCCAGUGAUGAGAACUCAAAAUGGACUAGAAAAAGGAAUAUAAAACUUAAAGGGGUGGAAUCAGUACAUGUAAAUUUCACUAAUAGGAAAAUUGACAAUUUACUUUCGGUUCAAAUAAAUGGCGUCUUGAUUCCGUCCGCAAACACGGCGAAGUAUUUGGGAAUGACGUUGGACGCGAAGCUCAGACGGAAGGAGCACAUAAAGAAAGAGAGAUCUCAACUAGAGGAGGAAUACAGAAAGUUUGAAUGGCUUUUGGGGAGGCGUUCGAAAUUGACAAUAUACAACAAAGUUUUGAUAUAUAAUCAAAUAUUUAAGCCUGUCUGGGCUUACGGUAUUCAGUUGUGGGGCUGCGCUGCGCAGACUCAUAUCCAAUCUAUACAGAGAUUUCAAAAUAGGAUAUUACGGGACAUUGUAAACGGCCCUUGGUAUGUCCGUAAUGCCGAUAUACACAGGGAUCUCACGAUCCUAAGUGUCACAGACGAAAUUAAAAAGCAAGCAGCCAAUCAUAAAAUGCGUUUAUCCAAUCAUGUCAACAUCGAGGCGGCUCGAUUGGUUGACAAUCAAAACUUUGUUAGAAGACUUAAACGACGAGACCUCUCGAGUUAGUUUAAAGUUUUUAUCUGGAACAAUGAGUACUUAGUACACUAUUGUGCCAGAUCAAAAGCUUGUAAAUAAUCAAAAAAGUUAGAGCAAAAUUAAUGGUUAGUCGUUCCGACUAGUUUUAUAGUUUAUUUUGAGGAGGGUGUUUUUUAGUGGAUUAAAGUUCCACACUUUUGCUUUUCGUCUGGCAGAGUCUUUCGAGAUUUUUCACCCUUCCUCUCGGUAAAUAAAAAAAAAAAACAAAAAAAAAAAAAAAAAACAAAUGCCGACGGAAACGUUUUUACUUGUUUUUAUUUCAUUCCACCACGCUUGACAAAUAGCUGAGAUGAUUUAUUUUGAUCGAUUUUGCUAUACGGCAACACCAAUCCAACUAAACGAAAGCUAUUGAACGAAUCUUUUUUGUCUGCAAAAUGUCAAUCUUUGAUUUAUAAAAAUAAACAAGUGAAAUGUGGUGUAGCGUUCAAAGUUUUUUGUUUUUUACAAAAUUAGAAAAAUUAUGGAACAAAAGUUCCAUAAAGAUUAUAAAAUUAAAAAAAAACAAGUACGAAAUCAUACCACGAAAGAAGGACUGAAUGCGUUGGACCAAUAUAUCCAGGAUUGAAUAUAUUGCAGAUUCAACAGGUUCAGAUGAAAACUUGCGCAGUUGGAUGCCUAUUGAAUUCAUCAGAUAAGUACAAUCAUGUUAUUGUUGUGAAUUUUGUAUUCUUUUUUGUUUGUUUUUCUGUUUAGGAAAUGAUCUGUGCCUGUGACGUCGCGACGGAACAUUCUCCCAGCCUUGGCAUCUGUGGCUGAAGAUGACAAAAAGAUGUGUUGAUGUUUUUCUAAAGUUAUCCAUGUUGUAAUGGUUUUUAGGUUCUAACAUCUGUAAAAAGGAUAGAAGGUUAUAGCGCCUCAGCUCGCUUUCCAGAAAUCCAGGAUGUGGAAAUGGGGAAGGAGAAAAAAAAAGAUCAAUUAAUAAUCGGAAAAUUUUGAUCAAAUCAAAAAAGUUAAAAUUAAAUAUAUGUAUAGAUAUAUUUAAGUGUAGAUUCGCAAAUUUUAUAUUAGUUGCAUCUUCUAGUACUAAGUGUAGAUUCGCAAAUUUUGUAUUAGGUGUUCUCCUAGUAUUAAGUGUAGAUUCGCAAAUUUUGUAUUAGGUAUUCUCCUAAUAUUAAGUGUAGAUUCGCAAAUUUUGUAUUAGGUGUUCUCCUAGUAUUCAGUGUAGUGCUCGACGUAGAUAGUGUAUAUACAGUACGCUAUAAUGUAAACACAUAGUUCCCACAUAGCGCAGAUAUGUAAUUUCGAUAUAGUGUAGAUACAUGAUUUCGAAAUAGUGUAGGUGCAUAAAUUUGAUAUAGUGUAGGUGCACAAUUUGGAUAUAAAAUUCCGAUGUAGCGUAGGUAUAUAGUUUCAACAUAGUGCAGGUGCAUAAUUUACGUUCGUGAACUUUUUUUUUUCGUACGAUAAAUCCUUCUCGAUUAAUCGAUGCGAUGUUUCAGUUUUAUUCGGCCCUGAAUGUAUUGGUAGCAGGCAAGCCUUCACUAUUGAACGUUUUAGUAUUCCAUUCUUCGUCUUGAUUGUAACCACUCGAACUAGUCCAUCUGGAUUGGGGUGAGUUUCGAUGAUGCGACCCAUCAGCCACCUGCUUGGGGGUAAAUUUUCAUUUUUUAGUAGGACUAAGUCUCCCAAUUGCAUAUUGUCAUGCUUUUUAGUCCAUUUUGGACGUUGUUACAAUGUGCAUAAAUAUUCGCGGCCCCAACGGGUCCAAAAGGUUUGAUAAAGCUUUUGAAGCUGUUGCCAUCUGUUCAGCCGAUUUUCAGCAAGAUCUAAGAUUGAAGGUUCAGAGGACGUAACAAUUACGUCGUCAAUCAAAAAAUGCCCAGGUGUUAGAGCCGAAUAAUCUUCUGAGUUUAGACGGGUUUCAAUUUGAGCUAGAACAGCUGUCAAUUCUUCAUAAGUUAAUUUAAUAUUGCCGAGUACUCUCCUUAAGUGUUGCUUGGUAGACCAUCCGUUUUAUUAAUUUUGCUAGCAAUGCUGCCCCACUUAGCUCUAUUCUUGGUAAGGAAAUCGUCUUUAUUGGAGCUACUUUUGACUUUGCCGUCACCAGACUAAUUUUUCUGUUACCACUUUCGUUUGUGACUACCAAAUAGACCACUGCCGCAUACGCUUUAAUUGACGCAUCGCAAAAACCAUGUAGUUCUAUUUUACAUGCUGUCGAGGUGUAACUGAACCAUCUAGUAAUCUUGAUCUUUUCCAAUUCUAGAAGACUGGACCUGUAGUUCUGCCAUUAAUCCUGUAGUGUCUUUUCCAAAUCAUCCUCCCAGCUCGAACUAGACAGCCAUAAUUUCCGUAUCAUAUCUUGGCCAAAAUGAUAGAGGAUGCCAGCCAACCAAGGGGAUCGAACAACUCAGACACUUCUGAUAGAACUGAUCGCCCGGUCCAUUUCGAGGCUCUAUCCUCCAAUUUCGUAAUUUUAUGCGAAAAGCAAUCAUUAGCUGGGUCCAAUUGCACUCCCAGCGUCUUUACCGUUUCUGCAUCCUCUAUUUGUAAAGGCCAUUCAUUUUCUCAGUGCUCCUUAGGAACCACCUUCAGUAAUGGUGCCGCAUUUGAUGACGACUUACGUAACGAAAAUCUACCCGAAGCCAUCUUGUUGAUGAGUUGUUUCUGAAGUUGUAGUGUUUCUUCAAGUGAAUCUGCGCCAGAUAGCAAAUCGUCAACAUAAAAGGACUCUAACGUUGCCUGCGAUGCCAAAGGAUAUCUGAUCCUUUCAUCUGUAGCCAGCUGCAUUACCACUCGCGUAGCUAAAAAGGGUGCGGAUUUAUUGCCAAAAGUCACGGUAGUUAAUUUAUAAUCACAAAUAGGUUGUUUAGUUGAUUCUCGCCAAACUAUUCGCUGCUAAUCGGUGUGUUUAGGUGCAAGUUUGAUUUGUCUAUAAGGCAACUUUAUAUUUUCGAAAUCGGAGCAAAAGAGUGGCGAAGUCGUCUUGGAUGAGUGGACCUUCAUCAAAUUGUCAUUCAAGGAUGAGCCUUUGGAUGUGGGUCGCGACGCAUCGAAAACAACUCUCAAUUUCGUGGUGGAGCUACUCUCCUUGAUGGCACCUUGAUGUGGUAAAUAAUUGGAAAUGAUCUUUUGAUUUUUAUUUCUCAACUCGAUUGAUUCCACCUUUUGCAUAUGAUUCAUGUUGCUAUACUCAUUAAUACAUUUGAUAUAUUCCUUUUAGAAUUGUUGAUUUUUGCAGAACUGCUUUUCCAUACCAAAGAGUCUGGCAACUGCAAUGUGUCUCGAACUUCCAAUCUCAAUUGGGUCUUCUUCUAUGAGUGGUAACUCCACCUGUUAUCGUCCAUCUGCAGCCCUUGAGAGUGCACUGCAAAAAUGUUUCUCGCUUGCUAGCUCUUCUUCAGUCAUCAUUUUAUUUUCCGAUAUUUCCUCAGGUUUCCAGAACCUUUUCAGAGUUUCAUUUAAACCCGACUGCAUGUGGAAGUUGUUUAUCAUUAUUGCUGGAACAUCGUGUAGCUUAACAGCUCCGAACAGGAUCUAGCCGAAAGUCGUGUUCUGGGCAAUCGGUCCGCCAAACGGACCCUUCCUCAAACCGUCUAGUAUUAUUUGGCCAAAAACGUCAGCACCGUUGAGUACGUCUAUUUUUCCCAUCUUGAAAUAUUCAUGGUCAGCUAAAGUUAAUUCAUUCAGGUGUGGCCACACUUGCACGAAGAUGUCUCGCUCUGGUAACAAGUUCGUCAAUUUUUUAAGCACUAAACCCAACACCUGUACUCGUGUAGAGCCUUUUGCACUUUCAAUUAUUACUUUGACCCUAGCCAAUGAUUGGCCAAUAUUUGUUUGUGAUACACCGUGUAUGUCAGCGACUAUCCUCUCCUUCUUUAAACUUAAGCCUUGCACCAGUGACGCCCUAGCUCUUUGAUAUCGGUCCGUAGUAGGUGAAACAACUCUGAUAUAUGCUGUAGCUAGCAAGACCUGUUGUCUGGAAUUGACAGCCGUGCCGUUAUGACUGCCGGGUACAAAAACCGGUGCUAAAGUGAACAACCCUGGCGCCACCGCUGCUACUUGUUGUGGAGUAUGUGCGGCGUGGUGCGCAUGUACUUGUGGUGCAGUUGUAACUUGUGAUGAGGUUCGCUCUCCUUCAUCUUAUCGGUGUAGUAAUGUAUGGUGACGUUUACGAGACCUGUAGCAGCUCUGUUGGCUCGGGCAAGUGGUCAUCAUGUGUCCAGGCUUCAAGCAAUUUAUGCAAAACCCCUUCUUGACACUUUCUUACACUUUCUUAUCGUAUGUGCGGCUCGACAGAACGGACAUGAAGCACCAUUACUCGUUGACCCAGAUGAAGCAACAUGAAAUGAAGUGCUGUUUCUAUUCCUGGUUGAGUCGUUCUGUACUUGACUCCUUGAGCCUACAAAUCAUUUUCUAAUUGCUAUGGACUCCAAUGUGCGGAAUCUUGUUUCUAAACAAUUUUUCAGCUGUCGCUAAGUUGGAAGCUGCUUUUCGACGUUCCCAAAACUGAUGCGUUUCCAUUGAUAGCUUCUAGACUAUGAGGUACACUGUAAUUGGAUCCCAGCCUUUCACAUCAAUUUGUACAUUUGUUUUUUUAAUUGGUGUGAGAAAAAAAAAAAAAAAUUUUUUAAAUUGUACAUUUGUGUUGUAAACAUUCAUUAGUUGUAUCUAAAAGCUUCCUUAUAGCAAUGGCUGAUUCCUGGUGCACGAUCCCCUGGCCAGGGAGCCGUUUCAAUAGCAUGUUGACUAGCACAUGCUAUGACAGCAUGUUGAAUGCAGCCAUAUACUUGUCCUCUGUUACCUGAAAAGCUCUCAGCAAUUGUUCGGGCUCCCCAAUAAGAUGCACCUUUAGAUAUUAUAAUUUUUGUACGACCAGAAGAGUUUCAUUAUUGUGGAUCAGGGACCUAAAAAGGUCGUAAAAGAAAGGCCAUUUCUGGUAAUCACCAUCAAAUUUCGCCAGCGUAAUCUUUGGCAGGUUUAUCGCCACACUUGAAAUCUCCUUUCUUUAAUUUAAUUCAAAAUUCUUUAACGUCAAAUUCUUUAACGUCAAAAUUUUGAUUUUAGUCUGCAAACUGUCUGAAACUAAAACUUUUACGGACAGAAAUCUAGUAAACUUUUUACCCCUAAUUGACUUUGAAUUUUGAUCAUCCGUAAACGUCAAAACAAAAAAAAAAUUUUUUUUAGAUUUAAAAUAAUUUUAUACUUACAUACUCGUAUUAAAAAUUAACAAUAAAAAUA